AGAGUUUGAUCCUGGCUCAGGAUGAACGCUAGCGGCAGGCUUAACACAUGCAAGUCGAGGGGCAUCAUUGGAGUAGCAAUACUUCAGAUGGCGACCGGCGCACGGGUGCGUAACGCGUAUGCAACCUACCUUUAACAGGGGGAUAACACUGAGAAAUCGGUACUAAUACCCCAUAACAUCGCAGACGGCAUCGUUUGCGGUUGAAAACUCCGG
rnacentral:rRNA from 1 species